rnacentral:rRNA from 1 species
CUGCUGCCUUCCGUAGGAGUUUGGGCCGUGUCUCAGUCCCAAUGUGGCCGAUCAACCUCUCAGUUCGGCUACGCAUCAUUGCCUUGGUAAGCCUUUACCCCACCAACUAGCUAAUGCGCCGCGGGCCCAUCCAAAAGCGGUAGCAUAGCCACCUUUUACAUAGUUACCAUGCGGUAACUAUGGUUAUGCGGUAUUAGCACCUGUUUCCAAGUGUUAUCCCCCUNUUUUGGCAGGUUGCCCCAGUGUUACUCACCCGUUCGCCA